CCGCCGGAUCCCUUGGGGCGCGGUCCGGGCGCCUCAACUCUCGCGAGACUUGGCCUCCUCCUGGGUAGCACGGGAGGUCUUCGUGCCCCUCAGGCUCCGGGUGUCCACGCUACCGUCCUUCUUAAGUCUACGGAGAUUUUUUUUUUUACUACUCAACCUUAACUUUUUGUAGGACGUCCUCUGGUUUUGCAUCUCUGAGCUGAAAGAAAUGGAGACACUGGCGAAGCAGAAAUCAGCCUUCUCCCCAGCUCAGGGAAGUGUACCUUCCCGCGCCUCCGGGGCACGAAGCUUCCUCUGUGCCUUUCUGAAUGUGUUUUACCUUACGCCUGGCACCAUUAAGUGCUUAAUAAAUGUUUGAAUAAAGGGGGAA